UACGGGGGGUGCAAACGUUGCUCGGAAUUAUUGGGCGUAAAGCGCACGUAGGCGGCUCGUUAAGUCGGAUGUGAAAUCCCUCGGCUCAACCGAGGAAGUGCAUCCGAAACUGGCGAGCUUGAGUAUGGAAGAGGGUCUCGGAAUUCCCGGUGUAGAGGUGAAAUGCGUUGAUAUCGGGAGGAACGCCGGCGGCGAAAGCGGUACACUGGUUGACUUCUGACGCUGAGGCACGAAAGCCAGGGGAGCGAACGGG
rnacentral:rRNA from 1 species